CUGGAUGGUCCAGCCCCUCCCACAGCCACGUGUGGGGCCCAGGAUGUCUCCACGUGCAGACGUGAUGCUCAAACACAGGCAGGAAGGGCAACUGAGUCUCUGCUGGAGAAAGCACCGCGGCCGUGUGUGGGUGCAUACACACCACUCACCAUUGAGCCCAAACGUGCCUCUGAGCCGGAGCCCUAACAUUCCCAGACCCAGGAGACUAUCCGACUACACACCCUCUCCAUGAACUGCCAGAUGUAGGAGAUAAAGUGCUGGACCUCCCACAAUAUGUGGCCUGGAAGCCUGACCUGUUUUAUGUGGCUGUCUACAAAGGGGGGAAUUUACACAAUGUGAAAUGCACACGUCUGAAGGACACCAUCUAGGCACUCCAAUCAAUGUUUAUAUGUGUAAUGGAACCUCUAUCAAGAAAUGGAAUGUUGACCCCACAAAAUUCCCUCGUGCCCCUUCUCAGUCCCCCAAGCACUGUUCUGUUGCUUUGUUUCGUUUACUAUAGUUCACUUUGGCUCUAGUGUGUUAUAUAAAUAGAAUCAUACAGUAUCUGCCUUUCGUGUCUGGCACCUUUCACCCAACUGGCAGUUUUUACACUCACCCAGGUUGAUUGCCGCUCCCCUGUGGAUGAGACCUUGGGCUGCCUCCACUCUGGUUGAUAGGAAUAAAGCUGACCUGAGCUCUCUUGCACGUC